UGGGGGACAACGUUUCGAAAGGAACGCUAAUACCGCAUACGUCCUACGGGAGAAAGCAGGGGACCUUCGGGCCUUGCGCUAUCAGAUGAGCCUAGGUCGGAUUAGCUUGUUGGUGAGGUAAUGGCUCACCAAGGCGACGAUCCGUAACUGGUCUGAGAGGAUGAUCAGUCACACUGGAACUGAGACACGGUCCAGACUCCUACGGGAGGCAGCAGUGGGGAAUAUUGGACAAUGGGCGAAAGCCUGAUCCAGCCAUGCCGCGUGUGUGAAGAAGGUCUUCGGAUUGUAAAGCACUUUAAGUUGGGAGGAAGGGCAGUAAGUUAAUACCUUGCUGUUUUGACGUUACCGACAGAAUAAGCACCGGCUAACUCUGUGCCAGCAGCCGCGGUAAUACAGAGGGUGCAAGCGUUAAUCGGAAUUACUGGGCGUAAAGCGCGCGUAGGUGGUUUGUUAAGUUGGAUGUGAAAGCCCCGGGCUCAACCUGGGAACUGCAUCCAAAACUGGCAAGCUAGAGUACGGUAGAGGGUGGUGGAAUUUCCUGUGUAGCGGUGAAAUGCGUAGAUAUAGGAAGGAACACCAGUGGCGAAGGCGACCACCUGGACUGAUACUGACACUGAGGUGCGAAAGCGUGGGGAGCAAACAGGAUUAGAUACCCUGGUAGUCCACGCCGUAAACGAUGUCAACUAGCCGUUGGAAUCCUUGAGAUUUUAGUGGCGCAGCUAACGCAUUAAGUUGACCGCCUGGGGAGUACGGCCGCAAGGUUAAAACUCAAAUGAAUUGACGGGGGCCCGCACAAGCGGUGG
rnacentral:rRNA from 1 species